rnacentral:lncRNA from 1 species
GCGUGGCCGGCCCCGCCCUCUCCCGCUCUGGCCCCGCCCUCCUUUCCCUGUCCAGGGGCGCCCUCAGAGCUCGGGGUGACCCCGGAGCCGCCGGCGCCGCCCUGGGGGCCCUGGGAGCUCUCGUGGCCCUCGUGGGACCCAAAAAAACGAAUUUGCUUCGCUCUCUGGUCCCCGAGGUCCUGGCGGCGCUGGAGGAGCUGCUGAGCCUGGAUGAGGAGCGCGGGGCCGACGCUUUGGAGGUUCUGGAUGAGUUCCUGGAAGCCAAUCCUGAAUCCCUGAUCCCACAUCUGAAGCCCAUGCUGGAGCUCUGCCUGCAGGUAAAGGCAAAAAUUUCAUUUUUUCAGCCCAAAAUUUGGGAAUUCUGAGCCAAAAAAAUUGGGAUUUUUAACCCCAAAAAAUUUGGGACACCAGGUCUACCCCUAUUGAAGUCAAUGGGGAUUUAUAGACACCAGGUCUACCCCCAUUGAAACCAAUGGGGAAUUUCA